AAAAUAAAAUAAAUAAUAUAUAAUAAUAGUGACUACAUCAAACCAACGUAAAUGACAUAAUAACAAUUCUCUGAUUCCAUUGUUGCGGCCCAACCCCUAGUCCACUUACCCCCUUCUUUUAUUUUUCUUGUCAUCGGCCCACUUGCACUCCUUUUGAUUUAAUAGGUUACGUAGUGUAGGAAUUUUAUAAACCGCUAACCCUACCUGCGAAUUUUAUUUUCCUUCUCUGCCUCUCUAUCAUCGACGCAAGUAAGGAGGGCCUAGGACUCCAAGCAACUCUCGGCUACAAGACUAUAAUCUGACCCCUUCAAUCUCUAGGACGCGAGUGACCCGUUCCACUCCGCACCUACUUUCCGUCUUUUAACCGAGCAAACUAAGGUCGUUAGAUUUGUGAUAUGGACUUGCUAUCUGGGAGUGCUGGAGUGGUCAUGGGUCGAGACUCUUGGAUAUAUGCUCGUUGAUUAUGAAAACUUGUUUUAGAACAAUUGAUUUACAAUUUACUUUAUGCUUCCGCUGAACAAACUACAUGGGUUUAACUUAUGUUUUGGAUUUAUGUUUUGAAAAUAAUGGAAUGUUUUAUUGAAGUAUUAUGCGUAGUUCAAUGUGAUUGGUGGCUUGGAUCCUGGUACGGCACACGUCCCGCGAUGUUUCCGCAUGUGGUGUUUUGGGGGUGUGACAGUUUGGUAUCAGAGCCACUGGUUAUAGUGAACUAGGUUUUAAAACGUUUUCAUAAAACCAGACUAUAACCGAACAGUUCCGAAAUCGACCAUGACACUCAGCUCCAGAUUGCAAGGUUCGUCUUUUAUUUACUGAAUACAUUGCAUGUCUAGCAUACACUUAUGUAAAGCAUUGCAUAUAAUUACAUACUCAGCACUACAGUACGAUUACAUGAAUUACUUAUUUACAUUAUGAUGCAUCGUUAGUAUGUCAUAGUCUUUAGAUUUCUGUGAUCUUUGCCAUUUUGACAACCUCCGUUUGACACUCGAAUUUGGGAACCUUUUAACACAAGUUAAGAGGCACUGAGAUGAACAUGCAAAUCAUAUUAUCAUCAUGGGUGCACACGUAAUAAUAAUUUGGGGUGCAUGUGAGUCCUAGUGAGGCUUAGCAAGUGUAAGAGGAUUCUGACCCAGUAUCCGACAUAAUUGGGGAUUCAACAAUCUAUAGGAGUCAUACCGAUGAUAGACUCCUACUCGACCUUGAUCUUCCUUUCUUUCCUGAAUCAUUAUGACCCUAGAUGAUUUUGAGGUAGUUAUCGAAGCGUCGAAUGUUUGGUCUAUACUCUACCCACUUUUCUUGUUUACUUGAACUCAACGAAUUGGCGCCUCAGAUCAAGAGUAUGGUCACCUCUGCAAAUCUAGAACAAUUUACCGUGAAUUAUUCGUUUGGCUCACAAGACCGAUGAACAAGAAGUUGAACGUGGUACAUUACCGAACAUAGUAUCAUGAUGACUCCGAUUACCGACAACGAACGCAAGUAGAGUGACUUCAACCAAGUCUCUAACUCUAGUCAGCAAUAGAAAAGGACUGACAACAACAACAACUGCAAUACAAAUCAAAAUCGAGGCAUAAAUGCUGGCAAACAACCGGAGUAUAAGACGUGUAACUACUAUCACCAAGGGCAGUGCCCUAGGACGUGUCAAAGGUGUGAGAAGGUGGGUCAUUUGGCGAAAGGACGCAGAGUUCUACUCCGAAGCAACAACAUCAGAGGCAACAGCCACAUCAGUGGUAAGAUACUCGUAAGGGCUGCUUUCAGUACGGAAGUGAGGAUCACUUCGGUAAGGAUUGGCUGCAAUUAGAUCAAAAUGCCAACAACAGGAACAACAACAACGCUGGAAAUCCUUGUAACAGUAACCACGACAGUAGAAAUGGUGCUCGUGGAAGAGCAUUCACGAUCGGCGUAGGUGACGCCAGCAAUGAUAGCAACGUAGUGACCUGUACGUUUCUGUGAACAAUUUCUUCGCUUUUUUCGGUUCGACCACAACACCUCUCGAAACCAAGCAUAUCGUAGAAUUGGCUUAUGGUAAGCCAGCUGAAGCGUCUCAUGUUCACGUAGGGUGCGAACUCGACCUUCUAGGUCAACUGUUUGACAUUGACCUUCUCCCCAUCAUUCUUGGUAGCAUUAACGUAGUCAUCGGUAUGGAUUGGUUGUCCAAACACCAAGCGGGAAUUCUCUGUAAAGAGAAAAUCGUCGUAUACCUCUCCUUAGUGGAGAAUCACUGUCAGUUUAAGGCCAUCAAAGUGGUGCUACGGUUGGCAUCAUUUCGGCUAUGAAAGCCCAGAAGUGCUUACGAAAGGGCUAUCCUGCUAUUCUAGCGCUUGUAAUCGAUACUCAGCCUGAGUAAAAGAAGAUUGAAGAUCUACCAGUUAUUUAUGACUUUUCCGACGUGUCUCCCGAAGAACCUACAGGACUACCUCCACACCGUCAGGUGGAAUUUCAGAUUGAACUCACACCAGGAGCAGCUCCGAUUGCUCGCGCCCCUUAUCGUCUUGCACCGGGAGAGUUGCAAGAGCUAUCGAAUCAACUCCAAGAACUGCUGGAUAGAGGUUUUAUCCAGCCUAGUUCUUCGCCAUGGGGAGCCCCAGUCCUAUUUGUGAAGAAGAAAGACGGGUGUUUUCAUACGUGUAUCGACUAUUGUAAACUAAGCAAGGUGACAGUCGGAAACCGUCACCCUUUACCUCGUAUCGACGACCUGCUUGACCAGCCGCAAGGGUCAAGCUUCUAUUCGGAAAUCGACUUCAGAUCGGGUUAUCAUCUGAUGGAAGACCGAGAGGAGGAUGUUCCUAAAACGGCAUUUCGAACGCGGUACAGCCAUUGCAAUUUUCUGUUCAUGUCACUCAAGUCACCCAACACACCAACGGUUUUAUGGAUCACAUGAAUCGUAUGUGUAAAACCCAUCUCGCCGAAUUCGUCAACCGUGUUUAUUGAUGACGUUUUGAAUCAUUUCCAGGAGAAAGGAACACCAUGUGCGGCACUUGUAUCUUAUCUUAGAGCUCCUGAGGGAGGAGCAACUCCACGCGAAGUCUUUCUAAGUGUGACUUCUGGAUUCGAGAAGUACACUUUCUUGGUCAUAUAGUCAACGAAUUGAGAAUACACGUGGAUCCCGCUAAGAUCCAUUCUAUUGGAAAUUGAUCGGCACCAAAGAAUCCGUCGGAGGUGCGACAAUUUUUUGGUCUCGCUAAGUACCAUCGCAGAUUCAUCAAGGGAUUAUCGAAGAUCGCACAACUUUAUCGCUUUAACACAACAGGGUGCUGUAUAUUCGUGGAGGGCAAAACAAGAGGACGUCUUUUCAGCUUUGAAACCAAACUCUACAAUGUACUGAAUAUUGUCCUUACCCGAUGGUAGAGGUGAUCUGGUAGUGUACCAUGUUGUUUCGAUUCAGGGUCUCGGUUGCGUGGGGGUGCAACGCGAGAAGUGAUAGUUUACGUUUCUCAGCAGUUGUAGAUUUACAAGAAGAAUUGCACGACUCACAACCUGGGAUGGAAGCCAUGGCCUUUGGAUUUAUAAUAUCUGGGGGUGUUACUUGUACGGUACCAAAUGCACUAUUCAGACCGAUCACAAGGGCCUCCAGCAUUAUUUUGUUCCGAAACAGCUAAACAUGCGACGGCGUCGCUGGAUGGAACUCUUGAGCGAUUACGACUAUGAAACCUAAACGUGUACGAGCUUUGCAGCUCCAUAUCGACUCUAACCUAACUGAUCAGAUUCGUUCUGCCCAAACCGAAACGUUGAAGGACAAGAACCUCCCAGCUGAACCCAUGUGGGGCAUGGAAAAACAACUUGUAGCUAAAAUCAGGCGGUAUUCGCUACUACAUGGAGCGAAUAUGGGUCUCACUAUACGGCCACCUUAGGGAACUUGUGUAGGACGAAGCACAAAAGUCUCGAUAUCCUAUUCAUCUGGGCUUUGAUAGGUUGUAUUAGGAUCUGAAUACCUUGUACGGGUGACCGAGCAUGAAAGCCCACAUAGCGACACAUGUGAGCAAGUGCUUGACUUGUGCGAAAGUCAAGGUAGAGUACAAAAAACCGUCUGGUUUGCUUCAACAGCCAGAAAUACCCAUGUGGAAAUGGGAACAAAUUGCCAUGGAUUUCGUUACUGGCCUACCUAGGACUCAAAACGGAAAUGAUACCAUUUGGGUGAUCGUUGACCGUCUCACGAAGUCUGCACACUUCCUAGCGAUCAAGGAAACUGAUAAGUUUUCACAGCUUGCCGGAAUUUACUUGAAAGAGGUGGUUUCUAGACAUAGGGUGCCGACCUCUAUCAUAUCUGAUCGCGAUCCACGCUUUAUAUCCGAUUUGUGGCAGACGAUGCACAAAUCUUUCGGCUCACGUCUAGACAUGAGCACUGCUUAUCACCCUCAGACGGAUGGUCAAAGCGAGUGAACCAUCCAAACACUUGAAGACAUGCUGCGAGCAUGUGUAAUCGAUUUUGGCAAGGGUUGGGAAAGACACCUAGCCUUGGUAGAGUUUUCUUACAAAAACAAUUACUAUUCCAGUAUUCAGGCAGCUCCGUUCGAGGCAUUGUAGGGACGGAAAUGCUGAUCUCCUCUCUAUUGGGCUGAGGUGGGUGACAGCCAAAUCACAGGUCCAGAACUCGUACCCGAAACUUCAGAGAAGAUUGUCUAGAUCAGAAAUCGUAUGUCGGUAGUGCGUGAUCACUAGAAAAGCUACGCUGAUAAGCGUAGGAAACCCUUGAGUUGCCUGCUGAACUCGGUAAUGUUCAAGACGUUUUUCACAUUUCUAACUUGAGUGUCAUGAAAAACUUGUGGUACCUUUGCAAGAGCUAAAGAUAGAUGACAAGUUACAAUUCGUUGAGGGACUUAUCGAAAUCAUGGAUCGGGAAGUUAAGGUCCGUAAACACAGUCGAAUCCUAAUCGUGAGAGUUCGUUGGAACUCAAGACGUGGACCGGAGUUCAUGUGGGAACGCGAGGGUCAGAGGAAGUUCAAGUAUCCUCACUUAUUCAAAACUGUUGAAACUAACACUGAUGCAACUGAUGAAUUUCGGGACGAAAUUCCCUUUCAAGUUGGGGAUGAUGUGGCACCCGAGGAAAAUCCACAGUCAUCUUGACCUACCACUUUAUUUAUCUGAUUGUCAAAUUUCGGGACGAAAUUUCUUUCAACUUGGGGAUGAUGUGACAACCCGUAACUUCGGGGUAAAAACCGUUCAUUUCGCUUUUACAAAAAUAAUAUGCUUAUCUUAUUCUACGAAUUAAAUUUGUACUUAUAUAAUUUUUAGUGUGCAAACGUGUAGUCGAAACCAAAUCCAUAUUGUGUUGAACUGACCCGAACCGUUUGAACCAAGGUUCAAGUCUCUCUUGUCGAUCUUAUCCAAUCGUGUACCUCGAAUUUAUAAGGCCCGAACCAUAGCAUGAAUAGUAUACAUGUAUAUUAGUUGACUAAUUGUAUAUUGAUAUUUAUAACAGUUAAUUCCAUUUAUAAAAAGGUAAAAUAAAAUAAAUAAUAUAUAAUAAUAGUGACUACAUCAAACCAACGUAAAUGACAUAAUAACAAUUCUCUGAUUCCAUUGUUGCGGCCCAACCCCUAGUCCACUUACCCCCUUCUUUUAUUUUUCUUGUCAUCGGCCCACUUGCACUCCUUUUGAUUUAAUAGGUUACGUAGUGUAGGAAUUUUAUAAACCGCUAACCCUACCUGCGAAUUUUAUUUUCCUUCUCUGCCUCUCUAUCAUCGACGCAAGUAAGGAGGGCCUAGGACUCUAAGCAACUCUCGGCUACAAGACUAUAAUCUGACCCCUUCAAUCUCUAGGACGCGAGUGACCCGUUCCACUCCGCACCUACUUUCCGUCUUUUAACCGAGCAAACUAAGGUCGUUAGAUUUGUGAUAUGGACUUGCUAUCUGGGAGUGCUGGAGUGGUCAUGGGUCGAGACUCUUGGAUAUAUGCUCGUUGAUUAUGAAAACUUGUUUUAGAACAAUUGAUUUACAAUUUACUUUAUGCUUCCGCUGAACAAACUACAUGGGUUUAACUUAUGUUUUGGAUUUAUGUUUUGAAAAUAAUGGAAUGUUUUAUUGAAGUAUAAU